rnacentral:rRNA from 1 species
AUGAACGCUGGCGGUAUGCUUAACACAUGCAAGUCGAACGGUCUCUUCGGAGAUAGUGGCGGACGGGUGAGUAACGCGUGAGAAUCUGUCUUCAGGUCAGGGACAACCACUGGAAACGGUGGCUAAUACCGGAUGUGCCUUUGGGUGAAAGAUUAAUUGCCUGGAGAUGAGCUCGCGUCUGAUUAGCUAGUAGGUGUGGUAAGAGCGCACCUAGGCGACGAUCAGUAGCUGGUCUGAGAGGAUGAUCAGCCACACUGGGACUGAGACACGGCCCAGACUCCUACGGGAGGCAGCAGUGGGGAAUUUUCCGCAAUGGGCGAAAGCCUGACGGAGCAAUACCGCGUGAGGGAGGAAGGCUCUUGGGUUGUAAACCUCUUUUCUCAAGGAAGAACACAAUGACGGUACUUGAGGAAUCAGCAUCGGCUAACUCCGUGCCAGCAGCCGCGGUAAUACGGAGGAUGCAAGCGUUAUCCGGAAUGAUUGGGCGUAAAGCGUCCGCAGGUGGCUUUGUAAGUCUGCUGUUAAAGAGUGAGGCUCAACCUCAUAAAAGCAGUGGAAACUACAAGGCUAGAGUACGUUCGGGGCAGAAGGAAUUCCUGGUGUAGCGGUGAAAUGCGUAGAGAUCAGGAAGAACACCGGUGGCGAAAGCGUUCUGCUAGGCCGUAACUGACACUGAGGGACGAAAGCUAGGGGAGCGAAUGGGAUUAGAUACCCCAGUAGUCCUAGCCGUAAACGAUGGAUACUAGGCGUGGCUUGUAUCGACCCGAGCCGUGCCGGAGCUAACGCGUUAAGUAUCCCGCCUGGGGAGUACGCACGCAAGUGUGAAACUCAAAGGAAUUGACGGGGGCCCGCACAAGCGGUGGAGUAUGUGGUUUAAUUCGAUGCAACGCGAAGAACCUUACCAAGACUUGACAUGUCGCGAACCUUUGUGAAAGCAGAGGGUGCCUUCGGGAGCGCGAACACAGGUGGUGCAUGGCUGUCGUCAGCUCGUGUCGUGAGAUGUUGGGUUAAGUCCCGCAACGAGCGCAACCCUCGUUUUUAGUUGCCAGCAUUAAGUUGGGCACUCUAGAGAGACUGCCGGUGACAAACCGGAGGAAGGUGGGGAUGACGUCAAGUCAGCAUGCCCCUUACGUCUUGGGCUACACACGUACUACAAUGCUACGGACAAAGGGCAGCAAGCUAGUGAUAGCAAGCAAAUCUCAUAAACCGUAGCUCAGUUCAGAUCGCAGGCUGCAACUCGCCUGCGUGAAGUCGGAAUCGCUAGUAAUUGCAGGUCAGCAUACUGCAGUGAAUUCGUUCCCGGGCCUUGUACGCACCGCCCGUCACACCAUGGAAGCUGGCAACGCCCGAAGUCAUUACUCCAACUGUUCGCAGAGGAGGAUGCCUAAGGCAGUGCUGGUGACUGGGGUG